UAGAGAACGACUCUCGGCAACGGAUAUCUAGGCUCUUGCAUCGAUGAAGAACGUAGCGAAAUGCGAUACUUGGUGUGAAUUGCAGAAUCCCGUGAACCAUCGAGUCUUUGAACGCAAGUUGCGCCCGAAGCCAUUAGGUUGAGGGCACGUCUGCCUGGGUGUCACA
rnacentral:rRNA from 1 species